GGGGAUACAGCUCAGUUGGUAGAGUGUCUGCCUCACAAGCACAAGACCCUGGGUUCAAUUCCCAGCACCA
rnacentral:tRNA from 1 species